UGCACAACAAUACAACCGCUUGAUUGAGAAAGGAAGAGGUUUUCUAAUGAGUCUAACACAUUCAAUAAUAGUAGCUGUUCCUAGCUAAUCUAGCAAGUUUUGAAAAAGGAAAGCAUAUUCACUUAUCUGUGUCUCUAGGCAGCUUGAAUUCUCCAUGAAGGAUGAAGAUGUGUCCUUUUGCCUUCUCCUUACAUCCUCAAAGUUCAUUGCUUUGUACCCGAAUGAGGAUGACUCCUUUCAUUUGUUCCCUGAUCUGUAAUAAAAGUGGCAUGUAGUGAGUUGGGCUGAUUUCGCCAUGAAUAGUGUGUUUCUGAAGAUUUAUCUGCAUGUAUAAAGAGAAGAAGUGAC